CAAGCGUUCAUCAACUCUGGUAAUUCCAGUAUACUACUUAAUUGCGGCUGAACUUGAUGCAUUAGUUUUGCAUCUCUGUAAUGCUCUGAAAUUGAAGUUAGAAAGUUUUGGCUUCUCUUGACAGGUUCAUAUAGCUGAUUUGUAUGUAAAACAAGCUCUUUAAAAUCGUGUCUACUGUUCUCGAGAAGUUGAUAAAAGGCAUCUUGAUUCCUAGCAUAAUCGACUAAUACAUUGUAAUUGUCUCGUAACAGUUGCUGGCGUUUUUGCACCAAUUUUAAU